rnacentral:rRNA from 1 species
UACGUAGGGGGCAAGCGUUAUCCGGAUUCACUGGGUUUAAAGGGUGCGUAGGUGGGCAUGUAAGUCAGUGGUGAAAUCUCCGGGCUUAACCCGGAAACUGCCAUUGAUACUAUAUGUCUUGAAUACCAUGGAGGUGAGCGGAAUAUGUCAUGUAGCGGUGAAAUGCUUAGAUAUGACAUAGAACACCAAUGGCGAAGGCAGCUCACUACGCGGUUACUGACACUGAGGCACGAAAGCGUGGGGAGCAAACAGG